rnacentral:rRNA from 1 species
AACGAACGCUGGCGGCAGGCCUAACACAUGCAAGUCGAGCGAGAAGGUUUCUUCGGAAACUGGGCAGCGGCGGACGGGUGAGUAACGCGUGGGAAUAUACCUUUUGGUGGGGGACAACAGUUGGAAACGACUGCUAAUACCGCAUACGCCCUUCGGGGGAAAGAUUUAUCGCCAAAAGAUUAGCCCGCGUAAGAUUAGAUAGUUGGUAAGGUAAUGGCUUACCAAGUCUACGAUCUUUAGCUGGUCUGAGAGGAUGAUCAGCCACACUGGAACGUGAGACACGGUCCAGACUCCUACGGGAGGCAGCAGUGGGGAAUAUUGCGCAAUGGGGGAAACCCUGACGCAGCCAUGCCGCGUGAGUGAAGAAGGCCUUAGGGUUGUAAAACUCUUUCGCUAGGGAAGAUAAUGACGGUACCUAGUAAAGAAGCCCCGCCAACU